UUUAAGCAUAUCACCCUGAGUUUUCAUUGAAAUCUUAGUACAUACUUUAUUUCUGUCCUGUGUGAAGAUACUGGAAAAAGGAACAUCUCCAGAGAACUUGAAAGGUGCUGUUUCAAUGAACACUUCAGGAAUUUGAGCCAGGUGUUUCGAAGACCAGAUCUGAGGGUUCGAUGCAGCGAGCUGUGACAACUGGGGACUGCAGCCUGGAAGGAACAAGUCCUCUGUCGCAGGCAAUUUGACACAUUUUACACACAGUAGAACUUCUUUCCAAAUUGGAGUCAGUCCUCUCAAACCCUGCGAGGGUAAAAAGAAAAUGCAAGACCACCAUGCUGCAUCGGGAUCUCUGAAAGAACGUGAGGAAGACAGUUUC